rnacentral:rRNA from 1 species
GACGAACGCUGGCGGCGUGCUUAACACAUGCAAGUCGAACGGAAAGGCCCGGCUUUUGGUGGGGGCUCGAUUGGCGAAGGGGGGAGUAACACGUGAGUAACCGGCCCUUGACUUGGGAAUAACUGCAGGAAACGGGGGCUAAUACCGGAUAGGAGCUCCUGCUGCAGGGUGGGGGUUGGAAAGUUUCGGCGGUGGGGGAGGGAAUAGCGGCUUAUCAGCUUGUUGGUGGGGUAGUGUCUUACCAAGGCUUUGACGGGUAGCCGGCCUGAGCGGGGGACCGGCCACAUUGGGACUGAACUACGGCCCAGCCUCCUCCCGGAGGCAGCAGUGCGGAAUAUUGCACAAUGGGCGGAACCCUGAUGCAGCCCCGCCGCGUGCGGGAUGACGGCCUUCGGGUUGUAAACCGCUUUCGCCUGUGACGAAGCGUGAGUGACGUUACUGGGUAAAGAAGCACCGGCUAACUACGUG